rnacentral:rRNA from 1 species
UACGUAGGGUGCAAGCGUUGUCCGGAAUUAUUGGACGUAAAGAGCUCGUAGGCGGUUUGUCGCGUCUGCUGUGAAAACUCGGGGCUUAACUCCGGGCCUGCAGUGGGUACGGGCAGACUAGAGUGCGGUAGGGGAGACUGGAAUUCCUGGUGUAGCGGUGAAAUGCGCAGAUAUCAGGAGGAACACCGGUGGCGAAGGCGGGUCUCUGGGCCGUAACUGACGCUGAGGAGCGAAAGCGUGGGGAGCGAACAGG